AAAGUCCCGCUGUGCCCUGUGGUGCGUUGAGAAAUUGGAUGGAAGUCUUGGAAGACAUCUUGCCCCUCCCGUUCACUAGACAAAAUUUUUAACAGAAAGGAAUGUAACUCUGACGUCCUUGAUCUCACCAGCCCAUGUCUGGAAAGUAAAAUUAC
rnacentral:lncRNA from 1 species